rnacentral:rRNA from 1 species
CCUACGGGCGGCAGUGGGGAAUAUUGGACAAUGGGGGCAACCCUGAUCCAGCCAUGCCGCGUGUGUGAAGAAGGCCCUCGGGUUGUAAAGCACUUUCAGUGAGGAAGAACGCCUGGUGGUUAAUACCCAUCAGGAAAGACAUCACUCACAGAAGAAGCACCGGCUAACUCCGUGCCAGCAGCCGCGGUAAUACGGAGGGUGCGAGCGUUAAUCGGAAUUACUGGGCGUAAAGCGCGCGUAGGUGGCUUGAUAAGCCGGUUGUGAAAGCCCCGGGCUCAACCUGGGAACGGCAUCCGGAACUGUCAAGCUAGAGUGCAGGAGAGGAAGGUAGAAUUCCCGGUGUAGCGGUGAAAUGCGUAGAGAUCGGGAGGAAUACCAGUGGCGAAGGCGGCCUUCUGGACUGACACUGACACUGAGGUGCGAAAGCGUGGGUAGCAAACAGGAUUAGAUACCCCAGUAGUC